GUGCCAGCAGCCGCGGUAAUACGGAGGGGGCUAGCGUUGUUCGGAAUUACUGGGCGUAAAGCGCACGUAGGCGGAUUGGAAAGUCAGAGGUGAAAUCCCAGGGCUCAACCUUGGAACUGCCUUUGAAACUCCCAGUCUUGAGGUCGAGAGAGGUGAGUGGAAUUCCGAGUGUAGAGGUGAAAUUCGUAGAUAUUCGGAGGAACACCAGUGGCGAAGGCGGCUCACUGGCUCGAUACUGACGCUGAGGUGCGAAAGCGUGGGGAGCAAACAGGAUUAGAUACCCCUGUAGUCC
rnacentral:rRNA from 1 species